rnacentral:rRNA from 1 species
UACAGAGGGGGCAAGCGUUGUUCGGAAUUACUGGGCGUAAAGGGCGCGUAGGCGGCCUGUUAAGUCGAACGUGAAAUCCCCGGGCUCAACCCGGGAACUGCGUCCGAUACUGGCAGGCUUGAAUCCGGGAGAGGGAUGCGGAAUUCCAGGUGUAGCGGUGAAAUGCGUAGAUAUCUGGAGGAACACCGGUGGCGAAGGCGGCAUCCUGGACCAUUACUGACGCUGAGGAGCGAAAGCCAGGGGAGCAAACGGG